UGUCUGUCCCCAUCACCAGCUGCAGGUUCUCUUCUGCUUUGUUGGCCACCUGCAUGGCAACAGGACCAGUCAGCUGAACACCCAAAGGAGAGAGACCAGCACUGUGUAGCCCCAAACUGAAAAGGCAGAAGACCCACUGGAAUUCCUCUACAGGCAAGACAGGUUGGUGCAUGAUGCAAUGUUGUGUUUUUGCAUGAAGAAUGACAACACAUCCACUGGCAUUUUCCUCUUAGGAAUCUAGCAAUUUACUCUCUCAUUUCCAGUUGCUCUGCUUGGUAGCACACCGUGACACAAGAACAAUUCCUGACAGAAACUUCUCCCUCACUUCUGGCCUGAGCAUUUUGUCCUUCGCUUAGUUAGCACCUGAAAUACUAUUACAGCUGUGUGCCAGGAACAUCCUGUUCAAUUAAUGAUAAUUCUGGUGUAAUAACGCUUCAAGAACCUUCACCCCAAGUCAGUCUAUAAAAUACUAAGAUCUCUGGCCUGCAUUAAAUUUUCUGCUUUGCCUGUUGGGCUGAGGCAACCCACGGGAAAUGAGCAGCCUCUAGAUAUCCAUUGGAAAGGUGACUCAUCAGCAUCUCCUCACAAACAGUGCUUACCUUCCUUGCCCUGACGACUGAGCUCAAUCACUGACUUGUCCAGAGACAGGUAGCGAUGGAUAUGAGCUGCUGCUUGCUCAUAGUCUUCAUUUCUCAGGGCUGUCUGAACUCCAUCCAUGCAGAACUUCAGGUCAAGGAUGUCAUCAGCUCUCUGAAUGGCCUGAUAGAGUCGGUUCUGAAAGAAAGGCAACCAGUAAUGCUUCCAGCUGUGGGAUAGGCCAGGGACAGGGAACUGUCAGAAGACAGUGUGAGGGAAAAACAGACUGCAGCAAUACUUCUAUACAGCAAAACUACUGCAUAAGCAAAAUUUCUGGACUACUUAAAAAGUGCUAAGACCAGUGGCUCUGCAGGAUGAACAGCAUUUGUCAAAACUGAGGCUGAAAUUGGAGGCCACAGUUCUCUGUAACAAACAGGCAGAGACCAGAGAUGACACCACAUAUUUAUCUGUUUGAUCUGAGCACUUGUGCAAAUACUGGCAUUGACACCUCUCAGCCUGUCCCCAGACAAGGAACAGAACAGCCCAGAUUCCUGACCUGGCUUGGGUGACCAUUUGCACUGUGCUCAGCACUGUGUAGCUGCCAGCACUGCUAGUCACCCUAUCCAGGUAUUCUACCAGGAGCUGCGUGGGCAGAAGGGGAUGCUGGAGAACCAGCUCCUAUAUGGAGGAGCAUCCCUAGAAGCGUUCAAGGCCAGGCUGGAUGGAGCUCUGAGCAGCCUGGUCUAGUGAAAGGUGUCCAUGUCAACUGCAGGAGAGCUAGAACAAGAGGAGCUUUAAGGUCCCUUCCAGCCAAAACCAUUCUAUCAUCCUACCAGACCUACACCAUGCAAUACCCAGGAGCCCAGAAAUACACAGCUAAAAUAAAAAACCACAGCAGUUCCAGCCCACCUGCCCACCAAAGGCAGGGCACAUCUGGUGUGCUGUGAGCACAGAACACAGCUUGGUGGUGACAGGUUCCAGCCCCCCUCAGCCCAGCUACCUUGGCAAGGUCGAGCUGACGCACUUUGCUGCUGACGUUCUCGGCCAGGUUGCAGGUGAAGGUGAUCAUCCCUGCCAGCUGCUGGGCAUCCCCCUCAAUCAGCUGCAGGUUAGGGCUGGGAACACACCGGAAUGAGCGUGAGAGGCACACACUGACCACCAGGAUGGUGUGCAAGGAGGAUGGCUCCUCCUUCAGAUACAGCUGGUCCUGUCACAACACUCUCCCUCGUUUCAGUCCCUUCCUCUGGGAGCAAAGCAGGAGAAAGGAAUCAACUGGCUGCUUUGGAAGAGGCUGCACAGAACAACUGUGCCUUGCUACCACACGGCACCAACAAGCCACUGGGCCCUUAUGACAUUCCCUGAAGUGGAGGUGAAGACUAUAAACCUUUCCCUGGAGCUUCUCCUAGACUCAAGACCAUUUAGGAUGAUUUUCCAGCCUGCCUGCACAAGUUCACCCUGAAGAGGCAGUAAUAUUUGUUCAUACCUGUAGACAGCCUGGCACGAGACACCUGAUCCAACAAUUGAUGCUGAAACUUGGCAACCUCUGAGAUGACAUUGUCAAAAAGCUUCUGAGCCUACACUAAAAUGUGGGUCAGUCUGGGUGAGGGCACAGCUGUCAGUGCUGCUGAGAAGAACUGGGCACCUGGGGAUGAGGAUCCAACUCGUGUUCUCUACCACAAACUGACACAAAGUCUGACAUUUUCUGAGAAUGGAUGUGCUUCCCUUGCAACACUGAAAGGAGCAUCUGGGUCAUGCAGCAAGAAGGAAGAGGGGUUGGGACACUAACCCCAUGCGAUGAAGGGCAACCAUCUUAUUCUCUAUAGUGCUUUGCUGCUCCAGGAGGGAAUCCAGCUCCUCCUGCACGACUUUCUGAAAAAAUAAAAAAAAAAAAACGAUGAAGGAGGUGUUGUGUGACUUCAGCUCUCCUCCAGACCAGCAAUUAAUCACAGACCCUACAUCCAAGACAAGGACACAAGGCAUUAGAGCUUCCAAGAGCUCAUAGGACAAAUAAAUCAUUUCUAAGCUCUCUUUAA